CUUGGGGUCAUCCUUGGCCUCUCUGCAGGCAAGACUGCAAGAUAUUUGGGUGCAUGAGGAACACAGGUUGGAAGAGAUGCGAAUGCUGCUCCCAGCAUCCACAGAGAUCAAAGGCAUGCUGGGUGGCAAAAAUACUUGUUUCCAGAGUUUCUGGUACGGUCAUUACUCCAUAGGGAGCUCUGGGCAUCUGCAAGCUGUGUACAAGGCAAACACACACCCUGGAGAUAUUUCAUGGAAAUCCCACUCACUGACUUUUUGGUUGUUUCUCCUCAAAUGCCUCAUUAAUAUAUUCUC